UUUUUAUUGAAUGAUGGCUGUGACAUGUGAUGUUCUGAUUGGAUGUCAACUCCAUAGAAGAUAAAAUGCAUUGUUUUCAUUGACCAAUCAGACCAUAACAUGUGACCCGUCAUUAUCC
rfam:Glycine max cultivar Williams 82 chromosome 1, whole genome shotgun sequence.